AGGGAGGGAGAGAAAGGGAGGGAGGAAGGGAGAGAGAGAGAGAGGGAGUCUGUUGACUCAUCAGUGUCCUCUUUCUGCACUGUAAAAAAUACAACUUGCCUUUAGUACUGCCAAAUAACUUUUCUGACUAAACAGAACUCAAAUAAUCAAAUAGUGUAGUAAAACUCAUUAUAUCAACUUUUCUCAACUAAUUUGGCAAGUUCACCUAACAAACUUAAGAAACUGAGUUGACUCAACUUGUAUAAUUAAGUAUCUAGUAAGAGAGAAGUUUCCCAAAGUUCACUGAACUUCUUAGUCAAGUUGGCGCAAGCGCAUUGUUUCCUAACGUAUCAAGGCGACCUGCGGCAUUGCACGCUUGUCAGGAGGACAGAAGCUUUCCCUACCUGUAUGCAGCUGAGCCGAUGACCAUACAACAUCAUUGUCAAAGACUCUUCUGUUGCUAUGCAAUGUAAGCAGUGUCCAUGUAGAGACCCUCCUGACCCAUUACUGGCUUCAUCACGGUCACCAGGGAAAAAGCUGGCCCUGCCUCCACCCCCAGUGUGUGUGUAUUUUUAAGACUUCAGGAUACAGAUGCUGAGGAGGACUAGAGGCAUGAAAAUUGGAAUCUUGACCGUCAUUGAAGACGACCUCGUCAUGAAACACCGGACACUGUCACCAAUAUCGCCAUCGCCCUGGAAGAGACUGUUGUUCUACAGGACAUCAAGGAUCUUCCAUCUGCACUGGCCUACCUAUUCGGACUCCUGCAUGGCAUUAAUAUGUUACCCGAAAGAACUGAAAUAUACGUUCGAGGUGUUGCAAAAGAUUUUCCUGGGCCUUGAUGCUGGCAGUUGUUCUGCAAGAACGCAGUCUUUCAAGAUGAAGCUGCAUGCCCUUGGGGAUUUAACAUAGGGGUGCCAAUACUUAUGACCCCUGUAUUUUAAGAAAGAACAUUUAUUUAUUUAUGAUACAUUAUUCAUUCACAAAGAAAAUUGAAAAGAAAA